GUGAAGGCCCACCAAGGCGACGAUCGGUAGCCGGACUGAGAGGUUGAACGGCCACAUUGGGACUGAGACACGGCCCAGACUCCUACGGGAGGCAGCAGUGGGGGAUAUUGCACAAUGGGGGAAACCCUGAUGCAGCAACGCCGCGUGAAGGAUGAAGGUUUUCGGAUUGUAAACUUCUGUUCUUAGUGACGAUAAUGACGGUAGCUAAGAAGAAAGCUCCGGCUAACUAC
rnacentral:rRNA from 1 species